AGGAGAUGUAAGUUAAAUUUAAACUGUAUGGUUCAUGUUCAUAAAAUAUUCUUUUCUUCUCCU
rnacentral:tRNA from 1 species